UGUUUACUUGUCAGGUAUUUUUGGGGUUCACAGAGUAUUUUCCCGGCCCACCCUCUAAUCCCUGAAAAUCCCGCAGAGGCCGUUUACUUCUAGCGUUUAUUCCCGCUUUCUCCCGGCCCAUCCCGAAAAAUCCCCCCGCAGAUAGAACAAAUAUCGUGUAUUUUGACCCACGACCCUCCCCUCGCGUAUUCUCGGGGCUGACGGCGCGGACGAAGGCGAGACGGUCUGGAGUGCGGAUGCCGUCCUCGCCUUGGGACGCCACCGACGACGCUCGCCGCCGUCAUCGAGCUCAACAAGAAAAAGGCUCUCGCUCCCAACUACCGCGUCGAGAUAUGGCAGACCCCCUUCGUCUGGCGCACCAAAUUUUGGUCGUAGUGGCAUGAUAGUCUUACGGAAUCAAAUCUUGCCAAAAUCGACUAGAGUCAGGUAGCUCUGUGUUUGGUUGGAAUAGGAGCUUUGUGUUUGCCCAAAUCGAUCUGGAUGCGUACAGUGUACUUCUUCCUUUUGGUAGUUUGGCUGGACUGCGUCAGGUAGCUCUGUAUUUACGGGAUUACAUCAACCACAUUAUGAUUAUGAUGAGGAUGAUAUUCAAUGGUGAUGCCCCUAUAGAUGCUACUCUGUAUUAGUGUAUUUUCUGUACCUCAAAUUAAGAAGCAAGCUGUGUCUGAUGUUUCUCUA